GGUUUUCCCAAAGACAUGGGCAAUUUAGGCCUGGCUCUUCCAGUCCGCGAUUUGUCUUAUGACAAUCGUAAGUGGGAUGAUAGCAGGUGUAAUGCUAAACCAACAAGCCCAGUGUUGUGACAAGAUGCUGCGAUGCGAUGUCACCCAUCAAAUAAUCAAAUUGUUGCGUUUUGCUUGGAGUUCAAUUAGGGUGUUUUCCAUUAUUCAUUCCAACUUCUUAAAUGAUAAUCGAAAAGUCAAUAACAUCUUUUCACAUCGUCAAAUUCGCUUAUGCCACGCGAAAGUUAGACCAUAUGCCGUACUUGUUUAGCGCAUACCGUGGCCAUCAACAUUAUUAUAAAAUCACACAACGACUGGUUCAACUAGGUGGUCCGUUUUAUCGGAAUUGGAUGUCGCUAUCGUCCCUCCUCAGGCCUUGUUGGGCAACAAUUGUAACUGAUCAAAAGCUGUCUGGUGGAUCAGUGACCAUAACAAUGUAUGCACAACCUCUUCGGACUUUUCUGCAUCUAUGGUGGCGCUGUAUCUGGUUAUUGUAUUUUUAGAUGAAUUAAAGAAUGUUGGGACCG
ensembl:lincRNA lep-5 ncRNA